rnacentral:lncRNA from 1 species
GGGACACUGGCCAGGAAAAGAGGUGCAUCGUCAUCACAGGUCACAUGUUAGCGGAGAGAAUUGAUGAACAUAAGCGUGACGUGGAGGAGGGGAAGAUGUCUGCGGGUCUGGCGGAGGAGUGCUGUGCAUCCGGCGUGGAGGUGCUUUGGAACGAAGCAAAACUUAUCAAACAAACCAAGAACCUUAGGCAGGGCAUGAUCCGGGAGUCCUUGGAAAUUGUUGAAGGAAGAUUGUUUGAAGCCAUCCUAAGUGGUGGAAGUUCGGAAGAGGUGCCGGUCCCGUGGCUGUACGCGGCCGGUAUGUCUGGCUGGUAUGUGG